AAAGUUUUCCGAUUCAUUUUAAACAAAUGCCAGUUCUGAUGUUAAAUUUGAAUAGCAUUUAAAUGUAUUCUCUCUGCUCACUGCUAUUACAGUCUCCCAUGAAUAAGUCUUUGAACCAUGCCCUGCUGCAUAAGUCAUCAGGGAAAGCAGUUGUAUGUUACAUUUUCCCAGUUAUUGCUUAAAAUUCUAUUUUUGCUAGUUAAAAUAGUACCAGCUUUAAAACUAACCUCUUUGACUAAAGUAAAACCUGUUUACCAUUUUAAUGGAAAUGCACCAUUUAUGAAGUGAAAGUGAUUUGUAACCCCUGAGUCUGCCUGAUGCCCAGUUGGUGGCAGCAACUUUCAGCACCUCACUAAUAUUUCCUCUAGUUAAAAGGCACUUUAAGCUCAUCAGUGUCGGUGUGCGCUGGCCUAAUCUCUCUUACAAAUACUGCCUUCUUGUCUUUCUCUGAGGUGACAGGUGGCUACAGGAUUCGCCUUCAUGUUCUUGUCUUGAAUCUUUCAUUUCCCCAAAAUCUUCUCCUACCAUUGCUUCAGGGAAAGACUCAACAUUUAUUGAAGGCAGAUGCAGUCACAUGACAAAGGAAGUGUCAUUGUGAAAAUUGGAUUAAUCAGAAAAGACUUCAAAGUGAAAGUCUACCAGGGCUCAGCCAACUGUGGACCAAGCUUCCUGUUUUUUAUAAAUAAAGUUUUAUUGAAUCAAA